rnacentral:rRNA from 1 species
UACGUAGGGUGCAAGCGUUAAUCGGAAUUACUGGGCGUAAAGCGUGCGCAGGCGGUUAUGUAAGACAGGUGUGAAAUCCCAGGGCUUAACCUUGGAACUGCAUUUGUGACUGCAUAGCUAGAGUACGGUAGAGGGGGAUGGAAUUCCGCGUGUAGCAGUGAAAUGCGUAGAUAUGCGGAGGGAACACCGAUGGCGAAGGCAAUCCCCUGGACCUGUACUGACGCUCAUGCACGAAAGCGUGGGGAGCAAAC